ACCGUGUUAAAGCACUGGGAUUGCUGUUUUUCAACAGCAGCAGCGGGGGCCCAACGCUUAGCCAUAUCGGCAAAAGAGGGCUUACUAAUACUAACAUUGGGGAUAUUAUUAGAAGCAUUAGGCAGGGGAGCCUGGCUACUAGCUAGGGACGCAUUAUUACUUUUUUGCGGAGGGUCAGAACCCUGAGCAGUCGAACCUGGAGCUGGGGCAGUAUUUUUUACUGUACCAAGCACAACCAUAUUGCUGGGGCGCUUGUCCUUAGCAAUAACUACGGGCUUUUUAUUACUUUUUAAAACUGCCGAAAAACUCGGCGAACUAGAAACAACAGCCUGAGGAGAGCCAGAUAAGGGCUGAGAAACCUCAGGGACACCAACAGAAACACCAGAAACUGGCAAGGACUGGCCUCGGGAUGAACUCGAGGGCUUCGACUUGGCUUUAGCCAGGGUAACCUUGGAAGAGGUGUCUUUACUCAUAGUAGGCCCACUAUGAGAGGUGUCACCUCUAACACAACCUUGUGCCUCAAGGGAGGGGAGAUCCUCCUCUUGGGGACACGGCGACAGGUCCGCCCACGAUGGGGCACGGGACUCAGCCUCUCGGAUGUGAGUAUCACUCGCAUCUCUCGGGCUGCCAGACUCUAAGGUCCUGGCGGUCGCUAAAGGCAGCAACUGGUCAGCCUCACGGAUGUGGGCAUCACCCACAUCUCUAGGGCUACCGGGGGUUGCUGGGGGCAACGACGACAACGAUGACGACGAUGUUGUAGACAUGCUGGAAAUCAGGGGGGAAGGGGAGUCCCUAACCGAGAGCAUAUGGACGAACUCGAUGGGCUCAGAGUUGCCAAUGAGCCGGGCAAAGAAACGAACACACGCUGUGUUUCAAGCGUGAGGGUCUCAGUGCCUCAGUGCACAAGAAACUUAUCUAAUUUUGAAGUCCCGACUAUCCAAGAGGUAGUCGGUAAACAGCCGCUUCAAUGUCUAGAUAGACCUAGACACUGCUGUAAGCCUUGGUCGAACUGGAAACUUCGGAAUCUUCGGAAAUCUUCUUCCGGGGACCACGGGACCUAGCUAAGAUGAAAAAGCGCUGAAAACACCAGAUACUUUGAUCUUAGCCAAAAGGCCGAGAAGCGAUGCCAAAAAUUGGCGUCCGAGGGGGUCCUGUAGCCAA
rnacentral:lncRNA from 1 species